rnacentral:rRNA from 1 species
UUAUUUGAAACAGGAUACAACCUACAACACUGGGUUAAUGUAGAUUUUAUAAAUUAAGUGGGCCUAAAAGCAGCCAUCUUGUAGAAAGCGUUAAAGCUCAACUAUUCUUCUCCCUUAAAUUCCAAAAAUCACCCUCAACCCUUCAUUACUACUGAACUAUUUUAUACCUUUAUAAAAGUUAUUAUGCUAGAACUAGUAACAAGAAUUAGCCCUUCUCCAAAAUGCACACUUAAGCCAAAAUGGACACCCCAUUGGCAGUUACCGCAAAUGCACCCAUUAUAGUACCUCCCAACUAGACAACUCUAUAACUUUUAGCGUUAACCUGACACUAGAGCAUUACAGGAAAGAUUAAAAGAGAAAGAAGGAACUCGGCAAAUCUCGGUCCCGCCUGUUUACCAAAAACAUCGCCUCUUGAAUAAAUAUAAGAGGUCCAGCCUGCCCACUGACAUAGUUUAACGGCCGCGGUACCCUAACCGUGCGAAGGUAGCAUAAUCACUUGUUCUUUAAAUAAGGACUUGUAUCAACGGCAUCACGAGGACUGUACUGUCUCCUUUCUCCAAUCAGUGAAACUGAUCUCCCCGUGAAGAAGCGGGGAUUAACCU